UAACCGUGGGCUAGAGUGAUGGGGUUGGGGUUUUCAGCCCGCAGUCCAGGAACCCGGUGUGCGGAUCUUUUCCUGGGUCCCGACCCCAAACUGGGAAGCGAUUUUUUUUACAUGCGAUGUCCCUAACCGGGCUGGGAGCUAAGCUCGAUGCUCAAUUAGUGAUGCUGAACUGCGGCCCGGAGACGAGGAGGAAUCUCAUGAGCAGACAGUGGUCAUGAUUGGGCUUGCCAUUGCCUUGCAGAAUGGAGCGCAGGGCCAGCAGCCUCAUGGGCCAAACAAGGGUCUAAAAAGGAUGCAGCUUUGAACAUUUGGAAGCCUUAACUCCAGCCCGAAGGCAUCAGAGGGACAGGGCAUGCACAAAGCUGGAGUAUGAGUCUCAUUUGAUUAUGAUCGCCAAGCUGCCAGUGCUACUCGUGCUUUCUAUUGGCAGAACAUCAAUGACUUGCCGGGAGGCCAGAUCAAUUUAUGUGAUCAGGUCCCAUUUAAGUGUAGGAUGCAAAACACUGCACUAAUCGCGCAGCUUACAAGCAGCUCAACAUCUGGGAAGGCAGGAAAUCCAUGCAUUCACAUGGGCCUGCAACCUUAAUCGAUCCACUCUUUUAUUUCCUUUAUCAAUGCAUUCCAUUUUAAAAGGGGAGGACUGGAAAAAUUGAGGGGAUGAAUGGUUCAACUUACUUCAGCAUUGGAGACAUUUAAGGAGGACAACCUGAUUAAGCAGUUGAAGUUAAGAAAGUUUUAAGGCUCAAAGCUCCUAAACAAUCCAGGGAAAUGGAAUAUAGGACUCGGUUCCACUUUCCCUCAUUUAUAAUCCCUUUAAGCAUCUCAAGAAGUGAGCAUCUCCUGAUCUAUGCAGCCUAUAAUUUGUCAGCAGGCUCAGGAAAUAAUUACGGUAAUACUCACACAAGGAUCAUAACUGUGUUCAGAAUCAGUCCCUGUUUGAACAUAUUCAUCAGGCCAAUUAGUUGUUUCCAGCAGGACAUUGGUUCUUAAGUCCAGAAGUAUAACUUGGUGGGGACAAUGCAAGAAUUGUAUAUCCUUCAGAUUUUAUGUCAUUGGGUACAUGUUUCUCUCCCUGUGUAAUAAACCUGCAUUUGCCUUUUAUGUCGCUCCAUUUUUUUAAUGAGUGACUGUAUCUUUUACCUGAUCAUACAAACACACAAAUUAGCUGCAGGUGUAUGCCUCUAGAUUCCUUGAGCCUGCCCCGUCAUUCAAUAAGAUCAUAGCUGAUCUGAUUUCUCCACAUUCCCAUCUACCCAUAACCUUUCACUCCCUUACUCAUCAAGAAUCGACCUCUGCUGUAAAAAUAUUCAAAGAUUCUGCUUCCACUGAGUUUUCAUGCAUAGAGUUCCAAAGUCUCACAACCCUCUGAGAGAAAAAAAUUCCCCUCAUUUCUGUCUUAAAUGGGUGACCUCUUAGUCUUAAAUAGUGACCCCUGGUUCUAGGUUCUUCCAUAAGAAGAAACAUCCUCUCCACAUCCACCCUGUCAAGACCCCUCAGGAUCUUAUAUGUUUCAAUCAAGUUACCUUUUACUCUAAUAAACUCCAGCGGAUACAAGCCUAGUCUGUCCAAUCUUCCAUCAAAAGACAACCCGCCCGUUCUAGGUAUUAGGCUAGUAAACCUUCUCUGAACAGAUUCCAAUGCAUUUACAUUCUUCCUUAAAUAAGGAGACCAAUAAUGUACACAGGACUCCAGAUGUGGUCACAUCAAUGCCCUUUAUAACUGAAUCAUAAUACCUUUGUAUUAAAUUCCCCUUGCAAUAAACAAUAACAUUCUA